rnacentral:rRNA from 1 species
CGAACGGGUGAGUAAUGUAUCGGAACGUGCCCAGUAGUGGGGGAUAGCCCGGCGAAAGCCGGAUUAAUACCGCAUACGACCUACGGGUGAAAGCGGGGGAUCGAAAGACCUCGCGCUAUUGGAGCGGCCGAUAUCAGAUUAGGUAGUUGGUGGGGUAAAAGCCUACCAAGCCGACGAUCUGUAGCUGGUCUGAGAGGACGACCAGCCACACUGGGACUGAGACACGGCCCAG